rnacentral:snoRNA from 1 species
UGGACCAAGGAUGGCAACUGGUGACACAUGGGUCAUAUACAAUGAAUGUCACAUGUCUGGAAGUCUGAGGUCCAA